rnacentral:rRNA from 1 species
GAUGAACGCUGGCGGCGUGCCUAAUACAUGCAAGUCGAGCGAACGGACGAGAAGCUUGCUUCUCUGAUGUUAGCGGCGGACGGGUGAGUAACACGCGGAUAACCUACCUAUAAGACUGGGAUAACUUCGGGAAACCGGAGCUAAUACCGGAUAAUAUUUUGAACCGCAUGGUUCAAAAGUGAAAGACGGUCUUUCUGUCACUUAUAGAUGGAUCCGCGCUGCAUUAGCUAGUUGGUAAGGUAACGGCUUACCAAGGCAACGAUGCAUAGCCGACCUGAGAGGGUGAACGGCCACACUGGAACUGAGACACGGUCCAGACUCCUACGGGAGGCAGCAGUAGGGAAUCUUCCGCAAUGGGCGAAAGCCUGACGGAGCAACGCCGCGUGAGUGAUGAAGGUCUUCGGAUCGUAAAACUCUGUUAUUAGGGAAGAACAUAUGUGUAAGUAACUGUGCACAUCUUGACGGUACCUAAUCAGAAAGCCACGGCUAACUACGUG